ACAAGAAACUCCAGCUGUCAUGAGCAUUAUACAGUGAUAAUUAUGAUGAUUAUGAAUGUUAUUAUCACGAGUGAGCUGAUAACUCUGCUAAUGGCUCUGCUGCUUUCUCAUGUAUGUAGCUUUCUUAUUAUUUCUACACUGGGAACAGGCCAAUCCUUGGUUAUGAAGCCCCUGGAUUACAAGUUGCAAGUUCAGGAUCACUGGCCCCCAACUGAAGGCCAAUCCAAGCUGUGAUUCUUGCAUUCUAGCAGGGAAGAUUGCAUGACAAGGAAAUAGUCUGAGCGAGGGGAAAAGUUCACUUCUCACACUGGCUUUUGGGUUGGAUAAAAGAAUGUCAUCUCAAAACCUGAAAAUUGGAUAUAUGUUUGAGCAGGUGGGGCCAACAGAGACAGGUGAAUUGAGUUACAGUAUUGCUGAUGAAGAUUGGUUGAAGAAAGCAUUAAAGCUCAUUUCUUUUGUAUUACUUUGGCUGGGAGAAGAACCUGCAAGUAUCUCGUCUUUGUGAACAUGGCCUUGUUUAUUUAAAAAAACAACAAAAAAAAAAAAGAACGAAACAUCUAAUUUCACUUUGUUGUACCAACAUCAUCCUAAUUCAUAACCAAAAGGCUCAGAGAUUGUAACACAGUAGCCUCGGGCCAGCUCUCUCCUCAGCCUCUGCACACUCUCACAGGCGCAGUGUGCUGUGUGUUUGCUUGUUUGGUAUUUAUUAGCACCGGGUGAAUGAAGUACAUUCAAGCUCUUAAAGGCACAUGCUUGCUGUUCUUAAACCAUUACAGAAAGGAGAGGUCAAGUAAACUUGGUGCCUGAAGACAGGAUGUGUCAAGAACUCCAGUGACUGUCUUAGGACUCUCUCUGAUCCUUAGAAAAGUUUAUUGUGAUAAAGUAUUUCUCUUUUUUUUUCUUUUAAAUGUUCAUGAAAAAUGAAGAACAAUGGCACUGGCUUAAGCCUGGCACCAUGAGCCUUUCUCUCACAGUUCUGAUGCAAGGUUAUGACUUAAAUUUCGCUGACAAAAAUACAAGUUGUAUUUAUUUAUUUUGCACCACUGUUUUAUAGGUCUAUAUAGAAUGCAUUCAGUUCACUUAGGGAGAUGAAAAUGAAAAAAACAGCAUUUUUGACAUCAGUGCAACCUCUUCAACACAGUCUACAUGUAAAAAAAAUCCCAGCAGAAUCGUGACAUGUGCAGAUCUAUGACACUUGUAGUAAAAGAACAAAAACUGUAGUUUUCAUAAUAAAAAAAGUGCUUCCUUGAUUAUUUUCUUAUCUGAUUACUACCAUGUUUAUAAUUGUUGCUAGUCAUACACCAAAGUACAUAUGAUACAGUGUACUAUAGGAAUUUUAGUUAAGGUAAAUUAUUAACAGGGUUUGUUAUUUAAAGCAUUUAUUCCUUUUCUUUUUAAAACCCUUUAAAAAUGCAA